CAAAUUGCUAAAAUGUCGGAAGACCGAAACCAGUCAAGAAGAAAAGGAAAAGAAGUUAUAGAUGGACACCGCACAAGAAAGAGGUCUCGCAACAACUAUAUGCCACAUAGCUCUUCUGGAAUUUCUAUUCAAGAACCAUCCUAUGCUUCAUGUGAUAGUUCAUCAAAUGAUGAAGAUGGGACACAUCGACUACCAUCCUCAUUUUUUAUUCCUACACAAAGUACCCUCACAUCAGAGGGGCUAUUACGAGGCGAAGGCUCUAAUGGUACAAGCUUAUGUAUGAAUUGUAGUAAUGCUACUAGCUUAAAUAACCUUUCAUGUAAUUUGAUUAACGAAACAUUGUAUA